rnacentral:lncRNA from 1 species
UAAAAUAAAUUUUACAAUUUAUGUUUUUAUUUUAAUUCUAACACACAUCAUCAACAACAAAUGCUAAUUAUCUACCACUUCAACCAACACUAUGACCACGAGUCUAACCUCCGUUGAUUAGCGGCAAAGAGAAAUUACUCCCUACUUAUGAUCACAAGUCUAACCACACUAAAACUACUACUAACCACUACUCUAACCACUGUCGGACACUACUUAGACAACCACUAACACCACUUUAACCACCGUCAACCACCAUCAGACACCAAUUUGACCCUGCUAAACAUUUUUAAUCAUCAAUCUAACUUUCGUCGACCAUCACUUUAACCAUUGUAAACAACUAUUUUAACUAUCGUCAGCGACCAUACUAACGUUGUUGACCAUUACUCUAACUCUCGUAGGUCACCACUAGGACCCUCCAACCACCACGACUACCAUCGUCCAUCAAUCACUACUCUAAAACUACCUAAACUUCCACUUUCAAUCACUAAUAAAAAUAUAUUUAAUAUUUAAAUUAUAAUAUUUAAAACAUUUUAUUUAUUUAAAAAAAAAGUGUUUUUUAAACAAUUUCAAAGAUUAACAUUAAUCCUCUCUAACGAACACAUUAAUCAUUUGACUAUUUGUCAUAAACAAACACCAUCAUACUAUUACAUAUAUUAUUUUUUUUAACCAUGUGUGCAUAAAUUACUCUAUGUAAAAGUUAGAAGCAUAGUACAAUCAAGCAUGCAUGUGUAAGAAUGAAAAAGGACAAAGUGUUAAUUUCUACCUUCAUCUAAACACACCUUCUCAUUAACAUAAAUAGCUAGCUAUAGUAAAGUUCAUUCUUUUGGAAAAAAAAUUAAAAUGGUGGAAAAGACACGUUUAGCUAUAUAUAUUUCAAAUAAUUAAAUAAUGGAAUAAUUUUUGGAAUAGACAUAUACCAGAUUCAUGUGUUAACGUAUACCUGAAUUUUUGUUUCCUUCCAUGCUCAAAUGCCUAACUUGUCUACUUUUUAUUCAAGCACCUCACAUGAAAAAUAUCUAUACAUACAAAAAGUGGUACUUUGCUAACUCCUUUUUUUAUGAAAGCUAGCUAUAGAGCAACACAAUAAGUGUCUUACCCUUUGCACAUUCUAUACAUGUUAAUUUUGGGUUGCAGCCACUUGAUGAAAUAACUAAAAUGACUUGUGUUUGUGUCUUUCUAUUUCAUUGCUACAUGAAUUUGUCUCUCACCAUAUGCAAAAGGUAUGUUAUAUGUACCUUUUUAAUUAAUAUCACCAUUAUCUUUUAUAUUUUCAUCUAUCUAUGUUCACUUUAAUUUAAAUUUAUACAUGUAAUAUAGUUUAUAUAUUUAGGGUUUGACCAAACCAUAUGCAACACCAUAUAUAAGAAUAUUUUAUAUAAAUAUAUAUCUAGGUUAGUGUACCUAAUAGCUUAGUGUUUUUGUGUUACUUUUACUUUGGUUAAUUCUAGGAAUCAAUUGCAUAAUUGGCUAAUAAUUAAGUAGAGAGAUAAAACUAUAUGAAACUAAAUAAUAUUUAAUACUUUCUUAUCACUCUUUUAUAUUUCCCUCUAUUAGUUUGAACUAGCUUAAAUCAACUUUUUUUAAUAUGUUUGAAGCUUAAUGAAACUUCUUUAUUUCAACAACCAACAUGAUUAGACAUGUGGACCUUAUAAUGAUCUCAAAUAGACACCAACUAGUUGAAUGGAGUGUUAAUGAUCAUUCUAGUAUAGAACUUACCAAAAUGGGUUAGUGGCUUUAUGAAGAUUAAGAGAGAUUGGUGAAAAACUUUGGUUAGUAGCAUUAAAAUAAAGUUUAAUUCAUUUAGCUUAUAAAGGAAAAUAUUCUAUAUACAAAAAUUUCUAUAGUUGCUAUACUUUUACACAUUUGUUAUACAAGACAAAAUUAUAAACACACUAUGAAAAAUUUAUUGCAUAUGCAUGAUGAAUAUAUAGUAAAAAAAUGAAUGAUAUAUUAAUUGAAUUUCUAUACACUAUUUUUAACCAUAUGUAUGUAGAAAAUUAAUUUAAGAGAUGGAAAAUAUUGAAAUAUAAAAAAGUAAAAAUUAUUGAGAAGGUAAAGGCAAGUGGAGUUUGGUAUAGUGUGGAAUGCUCAAAGGUUUAAAAUGGAAUCAAAAUCAGCAUCCAACAAAAAACAAAUAGAAACUAAAGAAAAUAAUAACCAACCAAAAAACCAAACUUCCUCCUCGUAUCUCAAACUGAAAAACAGCUUUAUCAAAGUACAAAGCAAUUAAACAAAUUAAAUCCUUAACACACAUCUUAAUUAAUUACACAAAAGAUGAUCAUAAACAAAUCAUAACAAAAAAAGAAGACAAUAAAAAAAAAGUAGAUAACUAAAAUAAGAAUAGAACAAGAUCUCAACAAACUUUGCACACUUCUCUUCAUAAAAGCAACCUCCUCAAUAAAUUACCUUUCACUUUUACCCCUUAAUUUACACACAUCAACCUUCAAAACUAUAUAUAUAUAUAUAUAUAUAUAGUACCACUCCCAAACUCUCAAGUAGCAUAUAUAAUAUAUAUACUAAAUAUAUUACAAGAAUACCAUAUAUAUAUAUAUAUACUUGUUUGAUAUAUAUAAUGAAACAGGUUCAAGUACCAUUAGAGUGAGGGGAAGAACAUUCAGAAACAACUUCAUUUUCAACUUCUCUUUUGUGAAAGUUUCUAUGACAACCACAAGCAGCACAA